rnacentral:rRNA from 1 species
CCUACGGGCGGCAGCAGUGGGGGAUAUUGCACAAUGGGGGGAACCCUGAUGCAGCGACGCCGCGUGGGUGAAGGAGUGCUUCGGCAUGUAAAGCCCUAUCGGCAGGGAAGAAGCAAGACGGUACCUGACGAAGAAGCCCCGGCUCCCUACGUGCCAGCAGCCGCGGUAGUACGGAGGGGGCGAGCGUUAUCCGGAUUCCCUGGGUGUAAGGGGAGCGUAGACGGCCAUGCAAGCCAGGGGUGAAAGCCCGGGGCCCACCCCCGGGACUGCCCUUGGAACUGCAUGGCUGGGGUGCGGGAGGUGCAGGCGCAAUUCCUGGUGUAGCGGUGAAAUGCGUAGAUAUCAGGAGGAACACCGGCGGCGGAGGCGGCCUGCUGGACCGCGACUGACGUUGAGGCUCGAACGCGUGGGGAGCGAACAGGAUUAGAUACCCUUGUAGUC